rnacentral:tRNA from 1 species
UUCCCGGUAGCUCAAUCGGCAGAGCGGCUGACUGUUAAUCAGUAGGUUGGUGGUUCGAGUCCACCCCGGGAAG